AUGGCCACCUACCCCCUACUCCUCCUCCUCCUCCUCGGCGCCGUCGCCGUAGCCGCGUCGUCGGCGUCCGCGGAGGACACCCCAACGGCGUACGAGAUGCUGGAGCGGUACGACUUCCCGCGGGGCAUCCUGCCGGAGGGGGUGGAGGGGUACGAGCUCGGCCCGGACGGCGGCUUCGAGGUCUACUUCCCGCGGGAGUGCGAGUUCCUGCUGGCGAAGCAGUGGCUGGUCAGGUACGACGCCCGCAUCGCCGGCGCCGUCACCGCGGGCAGGCUGGCGGCGCUGGAGGGCGUCCACGUCAAGGUGCUCUUCCUGUGGCUCCCCGUCGCCGAGGUCGACCGCGCCGGCGACCGCCUCAGCUUCUACGUCGGCCCCGUCUCCACGUCCUUCCCGCUGAGCUCCUUCGCCAGCAGCCCGCACUGUCGCGGCUACGACGCCGUCGCCGCGGCCGUCUCGUGA
rnacentral:rRNA from 1 species